rnacentral:rRNA from 1 species
AACGAACGCUGGCGGCAGGCCUAACACAUGCAAGUCGAGCGCGCCCUUCGGGGUGAGCGGCGGACGGGUGAGUAACGCGUGGGAACGUGCCCUUUUCUACGGAAUAGCCUCGGGAAACUGAGAGUAAUACCGUAUACGCCCUUUGGGGGAAAGAUUUAUCGGAAAAGGAUCGGCCCGCGUUGGAUUAGGUAGUUGGUGGGGUAAUGGCCUACCAAGCCGACGAUCCAUAGCUGGUUUGAGAGGAUGAUCAGCCACACUGGGACUGAGACACGGCCCAGACUCCUACGGGAGGCAGCAGUGGGGAAUCUUAGACAAUGGGGGCAAACCUGAUCUAGCCAUGCCGCGUGAGUGAUGAAGGCCUUAGGGCUGUAAAGCUCUUUCAGCUGGGAAGAUAAUGACGGUACCAGCAGAAGAAGCCCCGGCUAACUCCGUG